rnacentral:rRNA from 1 species
UACGUAGGGUGCAAGCGUUAAUCGGAAUUACUGGGCGUAAAGCGUGCGCAGGCGGUUUUGUAAGUCUGUCGUGAAAUCCCCGGGCUUAACCUGGGAAUGGCGAUGGAGACUGCAAGGCUAGAAUCUGGCAGAGGGGGUAGAAUUCCACGUGUAGCAGUGAAAUGCGUAGAGAUGUGGAGGAACACCGAUGGCGAAGGCAGCCCCCUGGGCUAAGAUUGACGCUCAUGCACGAAAGCGUGGGGAGCAAACAGG